CGGGCCGUAGCGCAGGGGUAGCGUACUUGCUUUGGGAGCAAGGGGUCGCUGGUUCAAAUCCAGUCGGCCCGACCA
rnacentral:tRNA from 1 species